UUUUAGAAGGUCAAACACUUCAAUGAAUUAAAUCAAAUAAGAAGUAAGCAUGAGAAAUGGGGUCUCAUUUUUUAAAUGCACGACCUCAACAUAUAGAUAAGAAAAUGUGAUUUGAAAAUUAAAUCAAGCAAAUAUGAUUCGGGUGUUGCUCCCUCCACCUCUCCAAGUCCCUACACCUCCUCAUUAAAUUUUUUUUAUUCAAGAAAUGUCCUUACAUGAAUGCACCCCCACACCUCCACCACUUCUACGCAGAACGCAUCUCCACAUUCGUCGACGGAGCUCUAUAUCCGUUGAAGGCUGAAUGGAUUUUCCAUAUCCAUUCAGCUUUCCACGCUUUCUUUCACCAUUAACAUUCAUCCUACUUACUUGCGUGCAAAGGAAAAAUCCAUGCUCUUCUUCUUUCAAUAGUACUUGCGUGCAAAGGAAAGAUCUCUCUCUCUUCCAACAAUCUAGUCCCAUACCCUUAACUAUAUGCAACCAUACCUUUUCUCCCCUGACAAGCACACGUAAACCAAGGUCUCCUCUUUAUCUAACAUCCAUGACCCCAUACAAGGAAUACACACCUACUAAUUCACAAAUUCAAAACCCAUAUUGUUUACUACAAACACACUGAAUGUACAAAACAACUGACCUCGUUGGUGUUUAAUGAAUUGAUUCUUAAUUUCAUAUGCUUUUUCAUUAAUUGUUAGAGUAAUUCAUUUGUUCUUAUUGCUUGCUUAUACAAUAGCAUGAUCUGUGAGUUGCAUAAGUGUCGACAGGUUCCUUUCAAUUUAGGUCCUUGUUGAAUUACUCCUAAGAAUUAUAUUUCUCAGGGAUGAGGGUAUGAGUCUUAGUCAUCUUAACCUUUUGAUCUUCACAUCUUUGUACCAGGAAUGCUAGGAAUUGUAUGAACUGGUAAUUAGGGACAGGCUUAUUUACUGAGGGAUCGAGUUUAAGUGUUUUAGUGAGGGACGUUGGCAUUAAUGCAUAAAGAAGAAUUCUUAUAUACAUGAGACGAAACUUGGUGAAAUCUAACACCAACAACAUACCUAUCUCAUAUUAAUCAACCUCCGUUCAUCUUUGUGCUUUAUUGUCACUAAUCAAUUUUAUUUUGCUUUAUUUUAUUAUUUUUGCAAUACAACUCAUGAUCUCUUUUAUUUUAAGUCUUAAUUAAUCUUUUUUUCACACAACUGUUCAGCGUAGAGAGUCCUCUAGGAUACGAUACUUGGUCUUACCAUUUUAUAUUACUUGUGCGACUCAGUACACUUGCCGAUUUGCCCCAACAAGUUUUGGGCGUCGUUGUCGGGGACUCACGGUUUAAGCUAUUCUAUUUGUGUGAUCCUUGAUCAAUUUUUACUUCAUUUUAUUUUUAUUUUCUU
rnacentral:lncRNA from 1 species